rnacentral:rRNA from 1 species
UACGAAGGGUGCAAGCGUUAAUCGGAAUUACUGGGCGUAAAGCGUGCGUAGGCGGUUUGUUAAGUCUGCUGUGAAAUCCCCGGGCUCAACCUGGGAAUGGCAGUGGAUACUGGCAAGCUAGAGUGUGUCAGAGGAUGGUGGAAUUCCCGGUGUAGCGGUGAAAUGCGUAGAGAUCGGGAGGAACAUCAGUGGCGAAGGCGGCCAUCUGGGACAACACUGACGCUGAGGCACGGAAAGCGAUGGGGAGCAAACAGGG